GGCUCAGGAUGAACGCUAGCGGCAGGCCUAACACAUGCAAGUCGAGGGGCAGCACGGGUAGCAAUACUUGGUGGCGACCGGCGCACGGGUGAGUAACGCGUAUGCAACCUUCCUUUAACUGGGACAUAGCCCGUCGAAAGACGGAUUAAUUUCCCAUAACACUAUGAACUGGCAUCAGUCUAUAGUUAAAGCUCCGGCGGUUAGAGAUGGGCAUGCGUGUCAUUAGCUAGUUGGUGAGGUAAUGGCUCACCAAGGCUACGAUGACUAGGGGGUCUGAGAGGAUGAUCCCCCACACUGGAACUGAGACACGGUCCAGACUCCUACGGGAGGCAGCAGUGAGGAAUAUUGGUCAAUGGGGGCAACCCUGAACCAGCCAUGCCGCGUGAAGGAUGACUGCCCUAUGGGUUGUAAACUUCUUUUGUUAGGGACGAAACUUGGUUACGUGUAGCCAACUGACGGUACCUAAUGAAUAAGCAACGGCUAACUCCGUGCCAGCAGCCGCGGUAAUACGGAGGUUGCAAGCGUUAUCCGGAUUUAUUGGGUUUAAAGGGUGCGUAGGCGGGAUAAUAAGUCAGUGGUGAAAACCUGCAGCUUAACUGUAGAACUGCCAUUGAUACUGUUAUUCUUGAGUAUAGUUGAGGUGGGCGGAAUGUGUAAUGUAGCGGUGAAAUGCUUAGAUAUUACACAGAACACCAAUUGCGUAGGCAGCUCACUAAACUACAACUGACGCUGAGGCACGAAAGCGUGGGGAGCAAACAGGAUUAGAUACCCUGGUAGUCCACGCCGUAAACGAUGAUUACUCGAUGUGUGCGAUACACAGUACGCGUCUAAGCGAAAGCAGUAAGUAAUCCACCUGGGGAGUACGUCGGCAACGA
rnacentral:rRNA from 1 species